AAGUUAAUCAAACAAAAAAGAAAAUCUCUCGCUGCUCUUGACUAAAUUACUUUUGUAACUUUAAUAAGAAGAAAUGUAUAUUUAAUU